GAAGGAUCAUCUCUCUUCUUCCUAACGCCGCACACAAUAGCUUCUACUACUUCUUCAAUUUUUUUCUUCAUCUUUCUUCUUCUCUUUACUCUCCAAGAACUCACUUGUGUUAAAAAGUCCACCAUGAGUGGCUAAUUUAUUUAUUUUUUUCCUAGUUGAGAUUUAGUGUACUCUAGUGACGUAUUUGUGAGAUCUAAUUGAUUUGAUUCAUCUUUUGUUGAAUCCUUGGUAUUUAUUUACUGGUUGUGAUUACAUGUACUUGUCACUUUGAAUUUGUUUGGACAGGGCCUGUUGAAC
rnacentral:lncRNA from 1 species